CCCCUUCUUACAUGGUAGCCUUCUCUCCCUCACCAAGAAAAAAUAUCCCUCUCUAAAGAAGAAAUUAAAGGGUUAACACUAAAAUUUCAGCUUCAAAUUGUUGGGGGUGGCGAGAACGAGAACACGAACACUUGAGCUCCUCGUGUACAAUCUCUCGCGCCUUCUGUUUUCAGUGCACAGGUUCUUCCUGGAAGCAGCGAGAGUAUUAGAGGUGGCAAGGAUUUCGUGUUUUCUCGUUUGUUAGAAUGUAGAGUUUUGUUGUAUAGCAGUUAGCUCUUUUGUUGUAUAGAAGGAAUCAAGAUGUACUUGAUCCUUUGAGCACAGAUUAAUUCGGUACCUUAGUUGUUCUGAACCCCAGUUGUAUGUCUUUG